rnacentral:rRNA from 1 species
CUCAGGAUGAACGCUGGCGGCGUGCUUAACACAUGCAAGUCGAACGAUGAUCCGGUGCUUGCACCGGGGAUUAGUGGCGAACGGGUGAGUAACACGUGAGUAACCUGCCCUUAACUCUGGGAUAAGCCUGGGAAACUGGGUCUAAUACCGGAUAUGACUCCUCAUCGCAUGGUGGGGGGUGGAAAGCUUUUGUGGUUUUGGAUGGACUCGCGGCCUAUCAGCUUGUUGGUGAGGUAAUGGCUCACCAAGGCGACGACGGGUAGCCGGCCUGAGAGGGUGACCGGCCACACUGGGACUGAGACACGGCCCAGACUCCUACGGGAGGCAGCAGUGGGGAAUAUUGCACAAUGGGCGGAAGCCUGAUGCAGCGACGCCGCGUGAGGGAUGACGGCCUUCGGGUUGUAAACCUCUUUCAGUAGGGAAGAAGCGAAAGUGACGGUACCUGCAGAAGAAGCGCCGGCUAACUACGUGCCAGCAGCCGCGGUAAUACGUAGGGCGCAAGCGUUAUCCGGAAUUAUUGGGCGUAAAGAGCUCGUAGGCGGUUUGUCGCGUCUGCCGUGAAAGUCCGGGGCUCAACUCCGGAUCUGCGGUGGGUACGGGCAGACUAGAGUGAUGUAGGGGAGACUGGAAUUCCUGGUGUAGCGGUGAAAUGCGCAGAUAUCAGGAGGAACACCGAUGGCGAAGGCAGGUCUCUGGGCAUAACUGACGCU